UCCCACAAUCCACUACGGGAAAGCCUCGUUCAAUGGCUUCUGUUUGGAUGAGUCGGUUAUCCUAUGGCACACCGCGAAUUCUCCGGAGGAAGAAUUUAAAUUGACAGAGGAAGAAGGUUGGCCAAGUGGUUCCUCGUUAGUAUAGUGGUACAUCUGUGUGCAGGUCUGAAAAUCCAUGUUAUACUGGAGUCCUCAGCACAGAAGAAAACUCAAGGCAGCCAAAUUGAGAUGUAGGGCACUGAAGAUUUAUAUGUGGUGCUUUUGGCUUCCUUGUGUAAGAAAUAAAAUGAUACCACACACAAAAAAAAUUCUGGUAAA